UUUUCUGGUGGCGACCGGCGCACGGGUGCGGAACGCGUAUGGAACCUGCCCCUGUCAGGGGAAUAGCCCAGGGAAACUUGGAUUAAUGCCCCAUGGUACCGCGAUAUCGCAUGAUAUUGCGGUUAAAGAUUUAUCGGACAGGGAUGGCCAUGCGUACCAUUAGUUAGUUGGUGGGGUAACGGCCCACCAAGGCAGCGAUGGUUAGGGGCCCUGAGAGGGGGAUCCCCCACACUGGUACUGAGACACGGACCAGACUCCUACGGGAGGCAGCAGUGAGGAAUAUUGGACAAUGGGCGGGAGCCUGAUCCAGCCAUGCCGCGUGCAGGAUGACGGCCCUAUGGGUUGUAAACUGCUUUUAUACGGGAAGAAAUGCGCCCACGUGUGGGCGUCUGACGGUACCGUAAGAAUAAGGACCGGCUAACUCCGUGCCAGCAGCCGCGGUAAUACGGAGGGUCCGAGCGUUAUCCGGAAUCAUUGGGUUUAAAGGGUCCGUAGGCGGGCCUGUAAGUCAGGGGUGAAAGUUUGUGGCUCAACCAUAAAAUUGCCUUUGAUACUGCAGGUCUUGAGUCAUGGUGGGGUCGCCGGAACAUGUGGUGUAG
rnacentral:rRNA from 1 species